GCGCGGCUCAAUUACAGGUUGCGGCCAUGCUCUCCACAGGCUUUCUUGAACUGUGAACUCGUGCGCCUAGCCUGCUAGCUGCUCAAUUCGAUCUGUCAUCCUCGGUUCGAUUCGAUCUGAAUUGCUUGUAUAUGAUAUGAUGUGCCUUGUUGAUGGUUCAAGAAAGUCCUUGGAAAACAUGGCCGCCGCCUCUUUCCCCUGCUGGCUUA